ensembl:lncRNA
AUCUCACUGAAAUAACUCUCAACAAAACCUUCCCCUAUUUCUUCUUGGACAAAACCUGAGAGCAGAAUGCCAGCCCUAGGCCCUUGACCCAUCAGCCACUUUUGACAUCAUUGCUUACUCUGUGAAUUCUGCACAUCUGUGACUCAGUCCUUCACUGAUGCUGCUCUUGUUGACUGAAGGAGGCACUUCACCUCCGUCCCCACCCUCCAAUUUUGUGUUGACUUUGCAGAUAGUAAUCCUUUGCCUCUUCUGCUCCCAUACUUUUCUCUUGGCAAUCCUGUCUAUGCAUACAAACCCAAGCAUCAUUGCUAUGACAGUGACUCACAAACCUAUUCUGAGCUUUUUUUUCUUUUAUCCAAAACUGUGUCUAUUUCUUUCAGAGUUUUAUUCAUAAUGAACAAACAGAAAAGAUGCUGAAUUUUCUGGCCCUCCACAAAACUGAAACUCUUGCAGAGGAUUGGGAUUGCUUGCUUUUAUUCAUGGAAACAUCCCAUUUUCUGGACAAAUUGGAUCAUAUGCUUGUGUUUUAAAAUUGCUCUGUAAAUGUGAUUUCCUUAACUUAUUGGUGUGACCAAGUCACAUCUGUCUUGGCUACAUUCCUCUGGCAGCCCUUUUCUCAUGGCAGUUCUUCUGUUUCAUCAAAUUGUUUCACCAAACAGAAGCUACUCUUCGCUUUGAAGACAUCCUCCUAAUUCACAUACAUUGUACAGCUAUAGCAUGGUCUGCUGAAACCCUGCUGGCCAUACUCAAAUCAGAAUCAGUUCCUCUGGUGCUUCUCUUUUGGCAGCCAGCAUCAUUCCAGCACGCAGCACAGGGGAAAAGCAGGCACACACACAGCCCUCUACUGCCUGUGGCAGCCAGAGCACCUCUCAGCCACACUGCCUCACCUGCUGACACAAUCCAUCAGCGCCCACCGAAAUCAAAUGCAGCUAAUUGGAAGGUGAUGACAGCCAUGGGACUGCUGGAUUUGCAUGCUAAUUCCUCUAUUUUAGCAUCCCACAGCCAGGCUACAGGUAAAAUGAGACUGAGCGCUUCAUUCCAGACGAUUUCCUGUCUUCUAUUCCACAGCACACAAGCACAUAUACCCAUAUAUUUUCUCUUGGCUUUGCUGUCCUGAAGCCAAAAAUCAGCUGGAGAUUGCAUUACAUGUGCUUUCCAAAAAAGCCAGCCAAGAACUGCAAGGGGCAACAUGUUUUUGUCCUCUCACUGGGACAGGGCUGCAGACUGCAGCUGUAGAUGAGCCUUUAAACAUCAGAGCAGCACAACUGAUGACUGCAGAGCGGAGCACUUUCCGCAGGCUGGGUUACAGCUUCCUUGUGCCUUUUAUGCCAGUGCAUACAAUGGAUUCUCAGCUCUUGUUUCAUGCAGAAUUGUUGAAUUAUGCUUUGAGUAUCCAACCUCUACCACUGUUCUACCACUGGCAUCUGCCCUUGCUCCGAGUCUACCAAUUAUUUCCUUUAAGUGUCAGCAGCACACCAGGCACACAGAGAUAUAACCUUACUUCAAGUUGAUGCUGUUAAACUAUUGCUUGAAACUGAAGUUGCAGUUGACAAGUGCUACUUCAGUCACUAAUAACAACUUCAGAAGUGCUAGUGGUGUCUUGGCUCUUAAUGCUGUGGCUCAGAGCUCUAGGAACGUCUUUCCAGGUCAUUUAGAGCCAUCCAUCUGAUUUGAAACAAGAGCAGUCAAUCUCUUCACAGGCUCUGCUCCUUGCUUUCUGCAAGGUCCUCUGUUCAUCCCCUCAGGGCGGCAGCAGUGGCUCAUCUGGGCAGCUGGCUGCCUUGUGGAAGAACCCCAUUUUGGGACCUGCAACAAUGUCAGUGUUUGCGUCAAGAAAAAGGUUGAACUCUCUCCUGAGAAAGUCAGUCUGUCUGUAUGGAAGGAGCAAGACAAGCGCUCAGACACAAGUCCCAGCUUUGCAGCUGCAGGGCUGGCAUUUGUUCCAUGUGCAGAAAAGCAAGACGAUGACAAAGCAUGAAAGCAGUGCUCAAGGAGCUCCUCAAAGAGAUGAAGACUGAGAUCUUACCGAUAAUAUGCCACACCCCAUAAAAGGAUCUUAGAUAUGGACAGACGAACUGGGAGCAUCUUGCCUCCCUGAUUCUUCCUUCCCUUUGUCCUCACACCCCUCCCUAGAACAGCACUCAGGCUUUCUCAAAAGCUGUGCAACCCAUUGAACAGGAGUGGUCCUAACUAUUAUGGAGAUCUUAAACUGCCAAAUUGAUACAAGCUAAAAUUGAUUGCCUGUGAAAGCUUGUGAAAUGAAGUGCUAGAAAGUGCAUAGAGAGAAACAGGGAAAGGGUGCUAAGGAAUUUGCUGCUUUAUGCUUCUUUUUUUUCCCUACUUUUCCUUUGCAUGCAACACCAUCAUUAUCUUUCCAAGCCAUCUUGCCUUAAUGAGUUCUGCAUCUCCCUCUCUCAAUAAUCAUUGGACUGUUUCUCCUGGUAUUUCCAACAUAAAAGGUAUUCUCAGUUUGUCUUCUAAUUUGCCUGUUGCCGUGUCACUGCUGAAGAACUGCACAAGUGAUUCAAAGUCAAAUCCAGAGGGAAAAUUGAUGAUGUGGACAGUAUGACAUUUAAUCCCCCCUCAAGCUAAAAACCCUUUUUAGCUUUAUAAAUCUAAAAAUCCUCCCUGAGCCUGUUUCAUUCUAUUCUGCAUUGGUUUUAUUAGCACCCUCAUCACCAGAGCAUCUGAACACCUUCGAGUAGUACAUUAAGCAACGUGACUAACAUCUGUCACAUACAGUUUUCUCGCUCUCUCAGCAUCCUUAAAAUGAAUUUAGUGCUUGUGUUGGAUCGAUAGCGCUGGAGACAGAUGGUCUCUGUUCAGCCCCAGCAGGGGCACAGCAUGAGGGAGACCCCUGGAUGGACCCCCAGCCUGCUGCCCUUCUGCCAUCACACCCUUUUUUGGUCCAAAUUUGGACCAAAUUUACUCUGAGCAGGACAGAGAAGUCAGAGCAAUGCUGGGAAGUCAGAUGAGGCACUCAGUGGUAAAUUUCUGCUGCCGGGAGCCUUCAACAGAGACAGCAGUUUGAGCCACUUGAACUCAUGUCAGUACAGGUCCUGUGUUGGGUAGGGCGGUAGUUCUAUCCUAUGGAGCAAAAUCUAAGCAUCCUGAGGCACUGUAAUUUCAAGCAAUAUGUUUUCUUAAUGGGCCAAGUAUGCUUUACCUAAUUUUGCUUUGAGUGCAUGGGAUUGUUAUUGCUCAGUGGCCUCACGCAGGUGUUUAAGCAGAUCUGUGGUGUGAUUUUUCAAUAGUGGCAUAGGGUUUUAUUGACUGUUACCUAAAGAGUAACUUCAGAGUAAAUGAGCAUUUGCAGCCAAUUGUGAUGGAUGCACGUGGGGCUAUGGCAGAAAACUCAUGAGCUGGUGACCUCUGUCAUAGCCUGUUGUGUUUUGGGUAAGAGUAUAGCGUAACUGGAAAAGGACUCUAUUUUUCAUACAGUAAGAAGAAUUGGGAGAAUUUAUUUAUGUUUCCCCUGAAAACUGUUGGCUUUUCAGUUCUGAUAACGUGAAGGUGUUGAGGAAAAAUCUAGAUAAAUAAAAUUCUGAUGUUUGUGAGGAUACUGGGGUAUGGGGUAUAUUUUGGUUUAUGAAUAUGCCUUGCAUGGCUGACUAGGGGACUCUGUGUGAUAAUUGAGAUUACAGCAGUUUUGAAGCAUGAUAGAACUCUGAUCCAAUGCAAAACUUUGCCUUGUUCAGUGCCCCAUCCUUGCAGAUAUUGAAGGUCAGGCUGGGCUGCUCUCUGAGCAACCUGGCUGAGCUGCAGAUGUCCCUGUUCACUGCAGGGAAGUUUGACUAGAUGACCUCUAAGGGUCCCUUCCAACUCAAAUGCUUCUAUGAUUCUAUAAAACUCAGAGGAGUAAUAAUCUUAACUUCUCACUGUUCCCUCCUAUCCAUAAAAAGCCAACUGAGGCUGGUUGGAAACCCAGCCCCUCCAGCAAGACUCAGUCAAGGCACAGUCUGAAGCUCUUCUCUGUACAAAACCCUAGAUUGUGCUACAGACCUAGCAGUAGUGGAAAUAUGAGAUAUCUGAUCAAGAAAGAGAAAUACAUCUAUUUCAGAAUACAUAAUCCUACCACAUAUGUGAAGUAGUUUAACCAUUAGCAAGUUGUCAAGCGUUAUUGAAUGGAGUUAAACUCUUUAUUUCUGUGCAGGAUCAAUUCUGUUCCCCCCCCCCCUUUCUUCCCUUCCCAGUACAGUGAGCUUUUAUACGAUACACAUUGCAGCGCCUGGGGCAGAUGACACUUGCCAAGGGGCUUGAUGAUCAAUUCUGAUACAAAUCUGACAUGAAAAGUCUUGAGAGAAUCUGGAUCAGAUGAUCAAUGGAAGACAGAAAUCCACAUUUAAUGCUGUGCUGCUCCUAGAUGUCUAUGCCUGUCUCAAACUGAGAUCCAAAAGCAAGCACAAUCCACAAAGACAACAUAUGGACGGGUACAUGGACAGAGGUGUGAGGAUGGCAUUUCACAUGCCCUUUCUGAAAUGAAUAUCGUGGAAGUAUUACAUGUAGGACUGACAGCCCGUCAGGUUUAAGUAUGAAAUUAAUCAUAAAAACAUGGAUCAGAGAAAUGCUAGUGAUCACUUUACCACCAAGUCUGUGCUACAGAGUCCAUGGGCAGAAAAUAGUUUCCAUUUUGUUUUUAUUUCUGUAAGAAUCUGUUAGAUUUCUGUCUCUGAUUCAAAGAUGAAAGAGAGACCUAUAACCAGCCUCAGUCCUUGGAGCCAUGCCUUCAUUUACCACCAGUCGGCUUUGCCCCUCUCCCUAUUUCUCCCCAGGCCUGGCUGCAUCUGAGUACUCAUAAACGCACUUUAUUAUUUCUCCCCUCACAGUUGCUUUUUUCUUCCCACACCUGCCAACAUUAGCUCCUUCCCUUGAAGCGUGCUGCCGUACAGUCUAAUGCAUGUGAUCUUCAUGCCAAGAUGCUAUUUAAUUUCCCAACAAAGUUCUUUUGGCGUGGAAUGAGCAGUAAGAGCACCAGAGGGGAGGCAUAGAUGGAGUGGGAAGGGAAACGAGAAGGAAGAAGGACUCCAACGUACGUUGCCUCUGGCUUCAACCAUGAGUGGUUUCAGCAAGUGGCUGGGGAGCAGCGUGGGUGGGAUGGUGGUGGCAACAGGGGGUUCGUGGAUGGCAGGUUGCUGAAUCAGGAACCCUGAC